GCGUGGGGGAGGAAGGCCUUCUGGGUCGUAAACCCCUUUUCUCAGGGAAGAAGCUCUGACGGUACCUGAGGAAUCAGCCUCGGCUAACUCCGUGCCAGCAGCCGCGGUAAUACGGAGGAGGCAAGCGUUAUCCGGAAUUAUUGGGCGUAAAGCGUCCGCAGGUGGCUUUUCAAGUCUGCUGUCAAAGCCCGAAGCUCAACUUCGGAGAGGCAGUGGAAACUGGGAAGCUAGAGAACGGUAGGGGUAGAGGGAAUUCCCAGUGUAGCGGUGAAAUGCGUAGAGAUUGGGAAGAACACCGGUGGCGAAAGCGCUCUACUGGGCCGUAUCUGACACUCAGGGACGAAAGCUAGGGUAGCGAAUGGGAUUAGAUACCCCAGUAGUCCUAGCUGUAAACGAUGGAAACUAGGCGUGGCUUGUAUCGACCCGAGCCGUGCCGAAGCUAACGCGUUAAGUUUCCCGCCUGGGGAGUACGCACGCAAGUGUGAAACUCAAAGGAAUUGACGGGGGCCCGCACAAGCGGUGGAGUAUGUGGUUUAAUUCGAUGCAACGCGAAGAACCUUACCAGGACUUGACAUGUCGCGAAUUCCGGUGAAAGCUGGAAGUGCCUUCGGGAACGCGAACACAGGUGGUGCAUGGCUGUCGUCAGCUCGUGUCGUGAGAUGUUGGGUUAAGUCCCGCAACGAGCGCAACCCUCGUCCUUAGUUGCCAGCAUUAAGUUGGGCACUCUAGGGAGACUGCCGGUGACAAACCGGAGGAAGGUGGGGAUGACGUCAAGUCAGCAUGCCCCUUACGUCCUGGGCGACACACGUACUACAAUGGUCGAGACAAAGGGCAGCAACUCCGCAAGGACAAGCGAAUCUCAUCAAACUCGGCCUCAGUUCAGAUUGCCGGCUGCAACUCGCCGGCAUGAAGGAGGAAUCGCUAGUAAUCGCAGGUCAGCAUACUGCGGUGAAUCCGUUCCCGGGCCUUGUACACACCGCCCGUCACACCAUGGAAGCUGGCCACGCCCGA
rnacentral:rRNA from 2 species